rnacentral:lncRNA from 1 species
GAGGCGGUUUCUCUGACGGGUCAGCAGUGGUUCUGAGUGUUUGACCUUUUCUUCUUUGUCCAUUAGUAUCUUGGUCAAAGGCUACAUAAGCGUUGGCUUGUGUUUUAUCUUGGGGUUGUGCUUCAGAUUCUAAUGAACUUAUGGAGGUUGCUGGUUAUGAGGCAAUGAGGAAGUGGCUUCUUAGAGUUUUCGGUUUCGGUCUCCGGACCGUGCUCUGUGUUUUUCUUGUCUGAAUUUGAAGGUGUCUUGCCUCUUAUCGAGUUUUAUCCUCCGUGAGCUCCCCUCGUUUGUCCCUUAGUUCUAUUGCUAGGAUUGUUCUUAGUAAAGCUUCGGUGCUGUGAUGUUGUGCUAUUUCUUGGUGGUUAACAGACGGGUUUCUCCAGAUUUUAUAGUAAGGAACUGUGGAGCUUUAGCUCAAUUGCGUUGGGUUCUUGAGUAAUAGAUUGUUAAACGAGUUUUUCUUCAUCAGUUACUCGGAUGGAAAUCCGUUUUCUCGUAGUUUCCUUAUCAAGAAGCUUAUUCUUGAGUGGCGGGUGCUCGUGAUGUUGGAUUGUGUUCUAGAGCCUUGCUCUCAUCUAAAAUAAAUGUGUCUUUUAACGCUUUUAUUCUCAUUCGGGCAUCCGGUAUCGACUUGCUUCACUUCUCUGAAAAUUCUGUAUUUGUCCCAGAUGUUGUUAGUGUAUUGUUUCCUUCCUUGUUCUUAA